AGUGAACGCUGGCGGUAGGCCUAACACAUGCAAGUCGAACGGCAGCACAGUAAGAGCUUGCUCUUACGGGUGGCGAGUGGCGGACGGGUGAGGAAUACAUCGGAAUCUACUUUUUCGUGGGGGAUAACGUUGGGAAACUUACGCUAAUACCGCAUACGACCUACGGGUGAAAGCAGGGGAUCUUCGGACCUUGCGCGAUUGAAUGAGCCGAUGUCGGAUUAGCUAGUUGGCGGGGUAAAGGCCCACCAAGGCGACGAUCCGUAGCUGGUCUGAGAGGAUAGUCAGCCACACUGGAACUGAGACACGGUCCAGACUCCUACGGGAGGCAGCAGUGGGGAAUAUUGGACAAUGGGCGCAAGCCUGAUCCAGCCAUACCGCGUGGGUGAAGGAGGCCUUCGGGUUGUAAAGCCCUUUUGUUGGGGAAGAAAAGCAGCAGGUUAAUACCCCGCUGUUCUGACGGUACCCAAAGAAUAAGCACCGGCUAACUUCGUG
rnacentral:rRNA from 1 species